rnacentral:lncRNA from 1 species
CGUAGGACGUAAGGACGCCCCCCCCCGCCGGUAGCCAUCUUCGUGCAUAGGCAAACUUAUUGUAGCUAGACUGUACAAAGUAUAUCAAGAUAUGCCAAAUAUUGAGCUUAACUUCACCUGUUUGAGAGACGGUGUUUCUUUUAGCUUGCAACACCAUGAAAAAAUUACUGAGACACUAGGAAUGCUGUGAACUGAGAAAGUUUGGGACCUUUGGCAUAACUAAAUCCUUCAUUUAACAGAUGGAGUCUCAGUCUGUCACUAAGGCUGGAGUGCAGUGGCGCGAUCUCGGCUCACUGCAACCUCCACCUCCCGGGUUCACGCGAUUCUCCAGCCUCAGCCUUCCACGUAGCUGGGACUACAGGUGCAUGCCACCACACCCAGUGUUGUGAACCACUUGUCAUGGGAUAACCAAAAUUAAACCUGGAAUCGCAGAAGAAACAAAUUUUUUGAAGAAAUUGGAUGUACUUUUUUAAAAUUUUUCAUUCAACUAAAACUUUGUUAACUGUUUCUUGGUUGUGGUCUUCUCUAAAUUGUAAUCUUUGGCAUUCACUUCCAAAGUAUCCACCACUAAACUUCAUAACAUUUAUUGUGUCUCUUCAUCAUUAAACUUUGAUGAAUUUACAGAGUGUCUUUUGAAAUUAUGUUCUUGAGAAAGCCAGGGGAUUGGACGGUGUCAUGGAAAUGUCAAAGAAAAAGUGACACCUGAGAGAAAAUUUGAAAGAUGAAAGGUGCACAUCAUGGAGACAAUCUGACUGGUACAGAGAAAUGAAGAGACAACAUUUUCUUUCCAAAUCUGAGUGGAGAUACUCAGAGUUUCUUCUCAAAUGUACACUGAUAAAUACUCAACUGAAGAUUCAACUGAAAUCCUCUAUGGGUCUCCAGACUCCCCCAUUCUGGAACUCUUCCCUGCAAAUUCCAGCUGCCUAAACUCCCUUCCAUCUCUCAGUUUCUCUAUAACUGAGGAACACCGUCAGGCUCCAGCUGGAUUUUCCUUCCUUGUGCACUGAUCUGGAAAGUCUUUCACAUCAGUAAGUGAGGGAAAUCAUAGAGUUCUCCUGGAUAGAAGAGGCCCUGGUUAGCAGCUUCAGAUGAUGGAUACAUAAAAAUGGGAGAGAGAAAACAUAUAAGAGUGACUAAUUGUUGAGUUUCCAGGGCUCAAACCAAUCUUGAAUUGGAAUUUCAAGACAUAAAAACCACUGCAGGAACCUGCUGGAGAAACGGCCUCUGGUAUCUCUAUCUGAAAUAUGAUUAUCUUAAGUUCGCAAAGCAUUGUGUCUGCAGUGUGAGUUUGAAAACAACAAUGUUAAGGCAACUUCGCAGCUUCUUAAUCAAGCCCUUCUCCAUCUCUCCGUGUGGUUUUUGGGGUGGUGGAGGUGGAGCCAAAAAAGAGAGGGCAGUUUCCCAGGGCUGAAGAUGCUACCAUGACUCAUAGGAUCUAUGCAAACCCUGUGAGUGAAUUCUGAGGAAGAAGAAUGAGUAAUAUUUUGAUUUUAUUACUGAUGGUAAUAAGAUAGUAUCAUCAGUGUGGUAUAUUCUGAUUACUGAAUUCUAUUCCCUAUUUUCUUCCUGUGGCCAAAUAAAAUUUGUGUGUGUAAGCUAUGAUAUUUAGUGUUGUUAUCUGAUGAGACAGGUUUAGUGGAAAAGUUCAUUUUAAAUAAACAUUAAAAUUGUUUCAGCCUCAGAUUUUUAAUCCAAAUCAUUCCUUUGACACCAGAAGAAUUUUCCUCAGAGUCAACUCCAAAGAUAAAGCUGCCUGUUUUCCUAUUUGCCCAGAAGUAAAGAGGUUGCAAAA